CUUCAGCAGAGGUCAGUCAGCACAGCAGCAUCAGAGCAGCAUUGGAGGACCGACCUGUGAGCAUCAAAUCCAUCUGGGCUUCACUUGCCCAGGUGCUUUCAUGGAUCCCCUAAGCAGAAGAUCUGUGCACUGCAAAGAUAUGCCUGGAUCAGUGUUUUCCCUUGCCUUAGUUUCAAAGGUGGCAAUUGAAACACAGGCAAGAUUUAGUAAAGGACCAAAGACUCUAAAAGGACCUGCAGCAGAGUGGAGAUGGCAGCUCAGCUGAGCUCCACUUCAGAACCCCCACCUGAAAUCCAUGUGUCCUCCACAGCUGAGUGCCUGAGCACACUGCCUAAAUACCUACAGGUGGCAUCCAGUCUGUGGACCCAAAAAAGAAAGAGUUCUCUCCACUCUUCCUGCUUGUAAACAUAAGCAAACCCUGCAUUCCUUGCUAUUAAAAGACACAAGCUGAGUUACUGCAUGGAUACAGCCCCUGCAGGCAAUCAUGUCCCUUUGCUCUCUAAGAUUUACUCUUGUUUACACCUGCAAAAUCUUUUUCCCCCUGACAGGUAUCAAACGUUACCAAGAGGUCUUUAGAGUUCUCAAGAGACCAGAGCUCCCAGCCUUCAAUGUCAGAAGACAAAGCCAAUUUAACUCAUGAUCUUUGGAACCCUGGGGCUUCACAAAACCCCUUAUCCCAUCU